rnacentral:rRNA from 1 species
UACGGGGGGAGCUAGCGUUUUUCGGAAUUAUUGGGCGUAAAGGGCGCGUAGGCGGCCACCGCAAGUCAGUUGUGAAAUCUCUGGGCUUAACCCAGAAAGGUCAACUGAUACUGCGGGGCUAGAGUGCAGAAGGGGCAACUGGAAUUCUCGGUGUAGCGGUGAAAUGCGUAGAUAUCGAGAGGAACACCUGCGGCGAAGGCGGGUUGCUGGGCUGACACUGACGCUGAGGCGCGAAAGCUAGGGGAGCGAACGGG